GCAUGCCAUUGCUACGAAUUUCGAAAGUUCCAAGAUACGAUUCGGAUUGCAGCAUACCAUGUCUACUAUUCUACCGUUCGUUGCGUUGUUCGGGAUUUUCAGAAUCUCUGGAGGUUGAAGCUCUCACACGAUUUUGUUGUAGGCGAGAUUCUCGUUGUUCCAGGGUUUCAGCGUCUCUGGAGGUUGAAGCUCUCACACGAUUUUGCUGGAGGCGAGAUUCCCGCUGGUUUUCCGUUUCCACAUUUCUCGAGCUUGUCUCUCUGUUUCGAUUUUGUUGAAGUCGGACAUUUCGUUGAUCUUCCGUUUCCGCCGCUCUGUAUUCAUUCGACUUUUUUGUUUUGGGUUUUUUUCUUCCAAUUGAUGCUUUCUUUGGUGGCAUGAUUUUAUUUUUUUGUGAAUGUUAAUAAUAAUACUCUGUAUGUUGAACUGAUCUCAGAUAAAAAGAAUUCACUAUCGUUUGCGCAGUGUCUACACUUGCUAUGAGCGAAUGUAUUAGCUAUGCGACCUUAUGUUUAUGUAACUCAGGCAAACAAUAUAAAUAUGUUCUCUGAAGGUACCUUCCACUUAAAAAGAUUAAAAAUCCUUAUAUUUUAUCUAUGCUAAAACGUGUGCAAACAGCAGAAGAUAUUCUCUGCAGGUACUUUUCCUGCAAUAAAUUAAAAAAAAAUCGGUAGACUUUCGCAACCUCUUAUUUAUCUGAAUUAGUGUAUACAGAAAAAUUUCUUUGUACGUAGGUAUUUUCUUCAAGAAUGUUGUGGAAAAA